AAUCCUACGGGACGCAGCAGUGAGGAAUAUUGGUCAAUGGGCGAGAGCCUGAACCAGCCAAGUCGCGUGAAGGAUGACGGCCCUAUGGGUUGUAAACUUCUUUUGUCAGGGAGCAAAAGACGCCACGUGUGGCGUUCCGAGAGUACCCGAAGAAAAAGCAUCGGCUAACUCCGUGCCAGCAGCCGCGGUAAUACGGAGGAUGCGAGCGUUAUCCGGAUUUAUUGGGUUUAAAGGGUGCGCAGGCGGAAGAUCAAGUCAGCGGUAAAAUUGAGAGGCUCAACCUCUUCGAGCCGUUGAAACUGGUU
rnacentral:rRNA from 1 species